CGGCCCCACUGACUACUUUGACCAGUCCAUCCAAGCCCUUUGUUUGGACGGAUGAGUGCCAAAAGUCCUUUGAGAGUCUGAAAGCUCUAUUGUGUUGUGGUCCAGUUUUGUCUGCCCCAAAUUUUUCCUUGCCUUUCAAGGUGGAGGUUGAUGCCAGUGGUGUCGGGGCUGGAGCGGUGCUUCUGCAGGAGGACACCCAGGGUGUUGACCAUCCCGUGAGUUAUUUUUCUCGCAAAUUCAAUAAGCAUCAGCUUAAGUAUUCCACUAUUGAGAAGGAGGCCCUCGCUUUGUUGUUGGCUUUGCAACAUUUUGAGGUCUAUCUUGCAUCCAGUGUUGAACCCAUUAGAGUCUACACAGAUCAUAAUCCUUUGGUGUUCCUCUCAAGGAUGUACAAUCACAACCAGCGUUUAAUGCGUUGGUCGCUGAUGGUUCAAGGGUUCAACCUAGAGAUAGUACAUAAAAAAGGGUCUGAAAAUGUGGUAGCUGAUGCAUUAUCACGUAGUUAGCAGGUUUGUAGUAUAGCAUUGUGUGUAUAUAAUUCCAGCCAUUGUUGGAAUCUUAUGGGUGGAGGUGUUACGUGCCUGCAGGGCCAGACAGGCCUGCAGAGCUUUUCUCCUGUGUUGUUCUGCCCCUCCUCCUUGUCUUGCAGAGGCUUCCAGGAUCCAGAGUUAAUGGAGGUGAUUGGAGUCCACCUGUGCAGACCUUUUGUUUGUUGUGUUUAAAGAAGACAGAUUUAGUUAGGCCUAGUUUUGGUUUGUUAAUUUUGAUUAUUUGGCACAACUAUAUUGUCCCUACCUCCACCACAUUUGUGAACCUCCAAUUGUCCUUUAAUAAACUGUUAAAUUCUGAACUUCA